AGCUAAGUCUAAACAAAUAUUCUUGGAGGAGUCAAGAUAUGAGCUUAAAAUGAUAGAAAUUAUAAAAGUAUCAUAAACAACACUAACUAUAAAAAUAUGCAUAGUUAAGGGUGGUGGCAAGUGUUUAAUUACAAGUUGUUGUAAGAUGUGUCACAGGAAUGUGGAAGUUCAAGGCCACACUGAGCUACAGAAGAUGCUAUCUCAAAAGAAAAAACAAAAUGGAUGGAUAGAAGGAAGAAAGAAUGGAAGGAAGGAAAAGAAGGAAGGAAAGAUAGAAGGAAGGGACAAAGGGAGAAAGAGAGGAAGAGAGAAAAAGAAUGAAAAGAGCAUGUGAAAUGGAUAGAUAAGAAAGGAAAAGGGGAAAUAUGUACAUAUCACAUCAUCUAACUAGCUAAUCUUACCAGAAAAAAAAAAGGCUAUGAUACAAUAUUUGUAGUCAUCUGUCUCCAAACAACCAACUAGAUUUUGGUGAAGGUACAGUUUGUAUUGCUAAACCUGCCUAGAGACUUCUGUGUGAGAGUAUCUGAGAUUUAAGUUACGAAUUUGACAUUGGAGAAAUACACAUACCUAUAGAAUGUAGACAUAUAUGCUAUCUGUUAUGUUCUAUGACCUGAAAAAAUUAUUCCUGACUAUUCAAUUACCCUUGCAACAGACUGUUUUCAAGAGAUGUCCUUCUUUUCUAAGAAUGGUAGCUCUUAGAAUAGGUAGGUGACUCUUCUUGUAAUGUCCCGGCCAUCCAAGAAUAAGCAAUCCAUGAAAAAAAGCUGGGCAUAGUGGUAACCCCAGUUCUCAGUGCGUAGACAUAGGCAGAUAUGUGGAGAUCAUUUGGGCAAAAAUCAGUCUACCAAGAUUGCAAUACAUGUUGAGUGACAAAUCUUGUCUCAGAAAGCAAGGUAGAGAACAAACAAAAAAGAUAUCUGGCCUCUAUGGAUAUAAUCAUAUACAUACAUGAUCUCACACCUUAGGAAUGUGUACAGACACUACAUCAUUACCACCACACACUUUGUUUUAAUCAGAAACUUGCUGAAGGAAGUAUGCUACUAUGAGUGAGUGCUUUGAGGUUUCGUACCUUGGCCCUACUUCCUGAUUCCUCUCUCUCUUUUCUGCUUAUGGAUAAAAUGUGAUAAAACUGCUUCCUGACAAGUACCUCAUUUUUCUGAUGCUAAGCCUUCCCUUGAUGCUGAACUGGAUCUACUCUGCAUCUGUGAUUUAAAGUAAACUCUUCCUCCUUCAAAUUGCUUUUGAUUUUAGCAUUUUAUCACAGCAACAGGAAGGAAACGCAUACAGUAAAAUGAUAAAGUCACAUACUUAUUCCUCCAUGUGAUGAAUUGAGCACUCAGGAAGAUCACUGUUCUCCAGACUUUGGCUGGUUGUUUGAAUAGGAAUGGCUCUCAAAUGUUCAUAUAUUUGAAUUCUUAAUCCCCAGUUGGUAGAACUAUUUGGGAAGGAUUAGGAGGAGUGGUCUUGUUGGAGGAGGUGUUUCACUGCCAUGGUAUUUGAAGUUUUAAAACUCCAUACUCUUGCAAAUUAGAUUUUUCUGUUUUUUGCAUGUGGAUCAAGAUGUUAAUUCUCAGCUCCUAUUCCAGCAUCAUGCCUGCUUGUCUGCUGCAAUAACCCCACCAUUAUAGUCAUGGACAGUAACUCUCUGGAACCAUAGCCCUAAAUUAAAUGCUUUAUUUUAUAAAUUACCUAGACCUUAAUGUUUUCUCACAGUGACUUAAAAGUAACUUUAAAAACUACUCACAUCUUUCUGGCAAGAAUUUUCUAUAUUAGAAGUGUGUAAGCUUUUGGUAUUGUUAUGACACUCCCACUUCCAACACACACACACACACACACACACACACACACACACACACACACACACACUGAUGACCUUCUCUUACAUCUAAAUUAAUUUCUAGGUCUCCCCUCUAAGUCUUAACUCAUAGAUCAGUUGGAGAUUGACCCUUUAAAUCAGUCUCCAGACUGUAAAAAUUCGACAGAAAUACCCCACUGCUUAACAUGGGUAGACAUAUUUCCUUGCUUGCAUUCCAUGUUGGACUUGUUUUUUUGAAAUAUUUCAGAGGCAUUCUCUUUUGCUAGUAUUUUCAGUUUAUCAAAAUCAAUUCAUCUGAAGCAAUCUAGCUGUAGAAGAAAAGCAGUCUGUGAUUGGUACAUUUGCACAGUCAACAAAAUCAUUGCUUAUUCUGGCUUCUAGGACUUUUAUCAUCACUGAGAAUAGUUACAUAGCUAAAUGCAUUCGCCUUUGUGGUCAAACACUGAAUUAGAUUUAAAGACAGUCUACAGAUGGGAAACUGAUAGGUAUUUUGACUCACAGGCUACACCAUAGGAAAUGUGCUAAGGAACUUAUUGCUUCCUCUGUCUCUAUCCUUUCCUGAGGUUGCCAUCGUAUUUCAAUUUUACACACUGCUUGAAAACAAGAAAGCUUUCCUACCAAGAAAUUCAUGUUGAUCUCUCUUCUGGGAACAUCAUCUGAGUUUUAUAGUGUGUACCAAAAAGGUAACACUUAAAGCUAAUUAAAUGAGGUUAAAUAAAAUCACUUCUACAAAAGUGUCUGCUUUAAAGAGUACUAAACAGAUGCAUGGCUCUAUUACUGCUUUUAAUUAGAUUAAUUGUCUUUUUGUGUUCAUUUAUUUUCUCCUCAGCUCUUUGCUGUGCUUUGUGCUUGAGGUUACAUGUCAGGUAAUUCAUGAAAGAAAAAGGGGAGAUGCUAAAUGGCUGUGAAUUUUGUAUAGGUGGAAUCAUACUAAAUGCCAAAGUCAUAGUGAUGUUAUUUCUUCUUGCUAGUGUCUUCUCCUUGAAAAGUUUCACUCAUCUUCAAAAAAAGCAGCAGUGCCAGAACUCACAUCUAGCCAUGUUUAGACAGAGAGAAAUGAAAUAAUUGCAUUAUGACUAACUAUCUGUAGCCACUGAGCAGUGAAGAGAACUGUGUGUUUGAAAUCAAGGUUAUUUGUGGCCCCAGGCUAAGUCUGCUAGAAAUUAUGUAACCAUAAGUGCCUCAGCCAGAGGUAUCUUCAUCUAUUACUUUCCUAUAUUGGGAUAAUAAUGUCCACACUGUUGGUUAAUGGAAGAUUGAAUGGACAUAACUUUUAUCAGCCUAC
rnacentral:lncRNA from 1 species